rnacentral:rRNA from 1 species
UUCCGGUUGAUCCUGCCGGACCCGACUGCUAUCGGAUUGGGACUAAGCCAUGCGAGUCAACUCGAAAGAGUGGCGCACGGCUCAGUAACACGUAGUCAAUCUACCCUGAGGACGGGGAUAACCCCGGGAAACUGGGGAUAAACCCCGAUAGGUCAUAGCUCCUGGAAUGGGCUAUGGCUCAAAUCUAUAUGGCCUUAGGAUGGGACUGCGUCCGAUCAGGUUGUUGGUGGGGUAAUGGCCCACCAAGCCUAUAACCGGUACGGGCUCUGAGAGGAGGAGCCCGGAGAUGGGCACUGAGACAAGGGCCCAGGUCCUAUGGGGCGCUGCAGGCGCGAAACCUCCGCAAUGGGCGAAAGCCCGACGGGGUCAGUCCGAGUGGCUCCUGCUAAAGGAGUCUUUUGCCAGCUGUAAACAGGCUGGUGAAUAAGGGGUGGGCAAGCCUGGUGUCAGCCGCCGCGGUAAUACCAGCACCCCGAGUGGUCGGGAUGAUUAUUGGGCCUAAAGCAUCCGUAGCCGGUGUAGUAAGUCCUCCGUUAAAUCCACCUGCUCAACAGGUGGGCUGCGGAGGAUACUGCUACACUAGGAGCGGGAGAGCGAGGGGUAUUCCACGGGUAGGGGUAAAAUUCUCUGAUCCGUGGAGGACCACCAGUGGCGGAAGCGUCUCGCCAGAACGCGCUCGACCGGUAAGGGAUGAAAGCUGGGGGAGCAAACCGGAUUUAGAUACCCGGGUAGUCCCAGCCGUAAACGAUGUAGCUCGGUAUGGACUGGCUCUGAACCA